AUUGAACGCUGGCGGCAGGCCUAACACAUGCAAGUCGAACGAGUGGCGGACGGGUGAGUUAUGUGUGUGAAUCCGCCUGAUGGAGGGGGAUCACCACGGGAAACGGUCGCUAAUCCCGCAUACCAUGAGGUGUGCCCAGAUGGGAGUAGCUUGUUGGUGGGGUAACGUCUCACCAAGGCGACGACCCCUAGGUGGUCUGAGAGGAUGACCAGCCACACUGGAACUGAGACACGGUCCAGACUCCUACGGGAGGCAGCAGUGGGGAAUAGUGCACAAUGGGCGCAAGCCUGAUGCAGCCAUGCAGCGUGUAUGAAGAAGGCCUUCGGGUUGUAAAGUACUUGCAGCGGGGAGGCGUUACCCGCAGAAGAAGCACCGGCUAACUCCGUGCCAGCAGCCGCGGUAAUUC
rnacentral:rRNA from 1 species